rnacentral:lncRNA from 10 species
AUCUUUACUUUGUGUUGGGAGCAUUCCAGUUCUUCUCUUCUAGGUAUUUUGAAAUAUACAAUAAAUUAUUACUAACGGUAAACACCCUACCUUAAGUUUUCUUCUUUAACAUCUUAAUGUAGUCAAUUAUAUAAAUAUAUUCUAUUUUUAAACUUGGGUGAGUUAAAAACAUAUUUGUCUCAAAAUUCUCUUUUGCUGUCUGAAAUAUCCAGAUUCAUAUCUCGCGUUGUUGUCUUUGUGCUAACCGAGCUUCUCAGAAAUAUUAUUUCACAACUUCAUGGCUUUGCUUAGUGGGAGGAAUUUUGGCACCUGGCUUCUUCCUUGCUCAGAUCCAGAGGACAGGUAGUGUUUAAGAAAACAGGAUUUGCAAUUAGGAAGACCUCAGUUUGGAUUAGGUUCAUCCAUUUGAUAGUUGGUGACCGUGGACCAAGUUACUUCUCUGAAUUUCUUUUGCACAGCUAUAAAUCAAGGAUUAUAAUCCUUCACAAAAUCAUAAGAAUCAAAGCCAAAUAAUGCAUCUAAAGGUCCAGCCCAGGGCUUAGCACACUGGUAUAACACAAACUAGCUGUUGUUAUUAUAAGUGUAAAUCCUGUGGUAUGCCCCUUUAUGACCUGCAGAUGACAUUUUCCACUUCUACUAUUGAUCAUAGGUACCUUCAUGGUUAAGAACAUGCAUUUUUUGUCAUUGCAAUUUUAUUCCCAAAUCUAUUCAUAUAUUCAGCAGUGAACCGAAUACCCGUUAUAUGCCAGAUACCUUGCUAGGCUGGGCUGUGGGUGAUACCUGUUCCACAAGACAAAUGUGGGCUCAAAGAGACAUGCUCUCUGCCCUUGUAAAGCUUGCAGGGAAGAUAGGCAAUUGAGUAUUUGGUAGAUAGGAAGUGUUCUGGGAGGCCUCUCAUAUAGUAUGUGAGAGCUCUCAUAUAGGGGAUAAAGGAAGUCACACCUCACACCAAGACCUGAAGCCACACACCUGGUGUAGAAAGGGCGGAGAGUCUUCUAGGUGGAUGGAAUAGCAUGUGGGGAAGAGUUUGUGGUAUUUGAGGAGUAGGGAGGAGACCAGGCUGUCCAGAGCAGGGCAUAGAAGAUGAAUUGGAGGCUGGACAGGUAUAAUUAUAGGGAGACUAGCUUGCAGGUGUUUAUGGAGUUAAGAUGAGAAACAAUGGUGGCCUAGAGGAGUAGCAGUAGCAAUGUAGCAAAGUGGAUAGAUUCUAAAGAUAUUUAGCAGGUAGAAUUAAUGCGUGAUGUAAAGAAUGAGAGAGAGUCACUCACAGGCUUUAUUGAGCAGGUGGGUAGCCACAAGUUUGAAUAAGUGGGUAGAUGAGAAGGGAAACAUUGGAGGGGAGGAGAGGGCUGGAGGAGUGUUAGAUGCUACUGAGGAGAUAAGCAAAAUAAAGUCUGAAAACUGAUCAUUAGGCUUAGUAACCUGGAAGUCACUAAUGACCCCAGAAAGCAAUUUCCUGGCUUCCUUCCUAGGAGCCAGACUGCAAUGGAUUGAAGAGGGAGCAGAAGGUGAGGAAACAGAGUGGUAACUCAGUCAAGAGGUUUGGGUGAGAGGGGAGGAGACAGAGAGGGUGACAAUUGGACAGGGGCAAGAGUCCAAGGAGGCAUUUGGGUGCUCUUUUUUUUUUUUUUUUGUCUACUUCUGCUUUUUAUUGUGAGAAGUUUGGGCUUAUGGAAAGGCUAACAGGAUGGCACCAGUAAAGAAAGAGACACUGUGAACACUGGAGAGACACAGUGAUGUAUAGCUAGGUCCUUGGGAAGCAGGUCACAGAGCACAGCUGAAAAAUUGGAGGACAUAAUCUCCAAUGUAAUUGAAGAAAAGAAUUGUUGGCUUGGGGUGAUUUCUUGCUUUGUUUUGUUUGGUGGCAGGAAAUUGAGGCUCUUCUCUGAAGUUGCUUCUGUUUUUCCCAUGAGGUGAUAGUAAAAUCAUCCCCCAAGAGUAAGGAGGCACAUCGGAGAGUCAGACAUUUGAGGAUGGGGGAGAAUGGAGAGCUCAUUGAUAAAUAAGACAAUAGAGGUUUGCUGAGCAGGGUUGUUGAACUGCUCAUAAUCAUGAACUUGGAGUGAUGCUAGUCUCUGUGGUUGUGGUUUACUCCAGUAUUACCUAGCAGACCAGGGGUAGUCAUGAAGAUGGCUGAGCCAGGGUUGGGGUAUUGCCAAGUUGAUGUGAUGAAAAGACAGUGUAGCAAGGAGAUGUAGAAUAUUGGCAGGAGACUUAAUGACCAGUUUGAGUGUCUGUUACGUCCCUUAUAAAAAAACUAUGGGCAUAUUGUAGUUGGUGCUGGUUAGAUUUAUUUAUUUAUUUAUUUUUAAUUUUUUUUUAACCCCUGGAAGAAAAGUGUCAUUACACUGGAGGAAUGCAAUUUGGCAAUGACCUAAGACAGCGUUUGGUCCCUAGAACAGCAGCAUUAGCAUCACUAGGGAAAUUAGAAAGACAGAUUCUCAGCUUCCACCCUAGAUCCACUGAACCAAAGACUCGGGCUGGGGCCCAACAAUCUGUGCUUUAACAAGCACAUAAGGUGAUUCAGAUUAGUGCUAAUAUUUCUGAAUAAUUAAUCUAAGAGAAAAGCCUAUGAAUGGUCAAAAAGUUGGACAUUAACAGUAAUAUUAAUGAAAAUAAAUGUGAGUUCUUUAACAUUGGGAGCUUGUCUGUCUUGUGUAGCAUUCCCAACACUCCGAACAUCUGGGUCAUAAGAGGGGCAAAACGUAUGUGGAAUGAAGGACUGAAUGAGUUUAUAAAAUAGUACAAAGAUGAAGGAGAGCUGGGAGGAGCUUCCAUAUAAUAAUCUACAGUUUACUUGAAAGCUCAUUAAAUCUACCUGUACCCU